GCAAGUCGAACGGUGACGCUAGAGCUUGCUCUGGUUGAUCAGUGGCGAACGGGUGAGUAACACGUGAGUAACCUGCCCUUGACUCUGGGAUAACUCCGGGAAACCGGGGCUAAUACCGGAUACGAGACGCGACCGCAUGGUCGGCGUCUGGAAAGUUUUUCGGUCAAGGAUGGACUCGCGGCCUAUCAGCUUGUUGGUGAGGUAAUGGCUCACCAAGGCGUCGACGGGUAGCCGGCCUGAGAGGGCGACCGGCCACACUGGGACUGAGACACGGCCCAGACUCCUACGGGAGGCAGCAGUGGGGAAUAUUGCACAAUGGGCGAAAGCCUGAUGCAGCGACGCCGCGUGAGGGAUGAAGGCCUUCGGGUUGUAAACCUCUUUCAGUAGGGAAGAAGCGAAAGUGACGGUACCUGCAGAAGAAGCGCCGGCUAACUACGUGCCAGCAGCCGCGGUAAUACGUAGGGCGCAAGCGUUGUCCGGAAUUAUUGGGCGUAAAGAGCUCGUAGGCGGUUUGUCGCGUCUGGUGUGAAAACUCAAGGCUCAACCUUGAGCUUGCAUCGGGUACGGGCAGACUAGAGUGUGGUAGGGGUGACUGGAAUUCCUGGUGUAGCGGUGGAAUGCGCAGAUAUCAGGAGGAACACCGAUGGCGAAGGCAGGUCACUGGGCCACUACUGACGCUGAGGAGCGAAAGCAUGGGGAGCGAACAGGAUUAGAUACCCUGGUAGUCCAUGCCGUAAACGUUGGGCACUAGGUGUGGGGCUCAUUCCACGAGUUCCGCGCCGCAGCUAACGCAUUAAGUGCCCCGCCUGGGGAGUACGGCCGCAAGGCUAAAACUCAAAGGAAUUGACGGGGGCCCGCACAAGCGGCGGAGCAUGCGGAUUAAUUCGAUGCAACGCGAAGAACCUUACCAAGGCUUGACAUACACCGGAAUCAUGCAGAGAUGUGUGCGUCUUCGGACUGGUGUACAGGUGGUGCAUGGUUGUCGUCAGCUCGUGUCGUGAGAUGUUGGGGUA
rnacentral:rRNA from 2 species